rnacentral:rRNA from 1 species
GACGAACGCUGGCGGCGUGCCUAAUACAUGCAAGUUGAGCGCUGAAGGUUGGUACUUGUACCAACUGGAUGAGCAGCGAACGGGUGAGUAACGCGUGGGGAAUCUGCCUUUGAGCGGGGGACAACAUUUGGAAACGAAUGCUAAUACCGCAUAAAAACUUUAAACACAAGUUUUAAGUUUGAAAGAUGCAAUUGCAUCACUCAAAGAUGAUCCCGCGUUGUAUUAGCUAGUUGGGGAGGGAAAGGCUCACCAAGGCGAUGAUACAUAGCCGACCUGAGAGGAUGAUCAGCCACACUGGAACUGAGACACGGUCCAGACUCCUACGGGAGGCAGCAGUGGGUAAUAUUGGACAAUGGGCGCAAGCCUGAUCCAGCCAUACCGCGUGGGUGAAGAAGGCCUUCGGGUUGUAAAGCCCUUUUGUUGGGAAAGAAAAGCAGCAGGUUAAUACCCCGCUGUGCUGACGGUACCCAAAGAAUAAGCACCGGCUAACUUCGUG